rnacentral:rRNA from 1 species
AGAGGCCACUGCUAUCAGAGUUCGAUUAAGCCAUGCGAGUCGAGAGGUGCAAGACCUCGGCAUACUGCUCAGUAACACGUGGACAACCUACCCUACAGAAGGGGAUAACCCCGGGAAACUGGGGAUAAUACCCUAUAGACUAUGGAUGCUGGAAUGCUCUGUAGCCGAAAGGUCCGCCGCUGUAGGAUGGGUCUGCGGCCGAUUAGGUUGUUGUUGGGGUAACGGCCCAACAAGCCUGUAAUCGGUACGGGUUGUGGGAGCAAGAGCCCGGAGAUGGAUUCUGAGACACGAAUCCAGGCCCUACGGGGCGCAGCAGGCGCGAAAACUUUGCAAUGCGGGAAACCGUGACAAGGGAACUCUGAGUGCCCGUAAAAAUCGGGCUGUCCAUCAGUUUAAACAA